rnacentral:tRNA from 1 species
UGGGUCUUUAGCUCAGCUGGGAGAGCGCCUGCAUGGCAUGCAGGAGGUCGACGGUUCAAGUCCGUUAAGAUCCAG